AUUGAACGCUGGCGGCAGGCCUAACACAUGCAAGUCGAGCGGAUGAAGGGAGCUUGCUCCUGGAUUCAGCGGCGGACGGGUGAGUAAUGCCUAGGAAUCUGCCUGGUAGUGGGGGAUAACGUCCGGAAACGGGCGCUAAUACCGCACACGUCCUGAGGGAGAAAGUGGGGGAUCUUCGGACCUCACGCUAUCAGAUGAGCCUAGGUCGGAUUAGCUAGUUGGUGGGGUAAAGGCCUACCAAGGCGACGAUCCGUAACUGGUCUGAGAGGAUGAUCAGUCACACUGGAACUGAGACACGGUCCAGACUCCUACGGGAGGCAGCAGUGGGGAAUAUUGGACAAUGGGCGAAAGCCUGAUCCAGCCAUGCCGCGUGUGUGAAGAAGGUCUUCGGACUGUAAAGCACUUUAAGUUGGGAGGAAGGGCAGUAAGUUAAUACCUUGCUGUUUUGACGUUACCAACAGAAUAAGCACCGGCUAACUUCGUG
rnacentral:rRNA from 1 species